rnacentral:tRNA from 1 species
GGUUGUAGCUCAGUGGUACAGCACUUGCCUAGCACUUGUGAGCUCUGGGUUCAAUCCCCAGUACCA